rnacentral:rRNA from 1 species
UACAGGGGGGGCAAGCGUUGUUCGGAAUUACUGGGCGUAAAGGGCUCGUAGGUGGCCAACUAAGUCAGACGUGAAAUCCCUCAGCUUAACUGGGGAACUGCGUCUGAUACUGGAUGGCUUGAGUUUGGGAGAGGGAUGCGGAAUUCCAGGUGUAGCGGUGAAAUGCGUAGAUAUCGGGAGGAACACCAGUGGCGAAGGCGACUACCUGGCCCAUUCUUGACGCUGAGGCGCGAAAGCUAGGGGAGCGAACGGG